UACGGAGGGUGCGAGCGUUGUCCGGAAUCACUGGGCGUAAAGGGCGCGUAGGCGGCAGGCCAAGCGUGCGGUGAAAGUCCGGGGCUCAACCCCGGAUCUGCCGUGCGGACUGGUUUGCUAGAGCACUGUAGAGGCGAGUGGAAUUCCGGGUGUAGCGGUGAAAUGCGCAGAUAUCAGGAGGAACACCGGUGGCGAAGGCGGGUCUCUGGGCCGAUACUGACGCUGAGGAGCGAAAGCGUGGGGAGCGAACAGG
rnacentral:rRNA from 1 species